rnacentral:rRNA from 1 species
UACGUAGGGUGCAAGCGUUGUCCGGAAUUAUUGGGCGUAAAGGGCUCGUAGGCGGUCCGUCACGUCGGGAGUGAAAACUUGGGGCUUAACCCCAAGCCUGCUUCCGAUACGGGCGGACUAGAGGUAGGCAGGGGAGAACGGAAUUCCUGGUGUAGCGGUGAAAUGCGCAGAUAUCUGGAGGAACACCGGUGGCGAAGGCGGCAUCCUGGACCAAUACUGACACUGAGGAGCGAAAGCCAGGGGAGCAAACGGG